rnacentral:lncRNA from 12 species
CCGGGCUGGGCUGCCGUGAGCCCGGGCUGUCUGCGGGGCAGGGCUGCCGUGAGCCCGGGCUGUCCGCACCGCGGGAAGGAGCGCUUUGGCCGAGCGGCACAGCACCGGGCACAGCAGUCACACAAACACACGGGCACGGACAGUUCCCUUCCAGCCACUGCGGCAACCGAGCAAAAUCACAUUGCACCGUGUCGAAAUAGUCACCCUUCAACCAGCUCCAGAGUGCUGCUGGUUCGCCUCUGUUACCUUUAAACAUACAGGAGAAAAACGCUGCCACCCUCGUGCUCUCUCCAGACAAAAGACUUGGAAAUUUCCAUCCAUCUGCGCUUGGAG